rnacentral:rRNA from 1 species
UGGGGAAUAUUGGACAAUGGGCGCAAGCCUGAUCCAGCCAUGCCGCGUGAGUGAUGAAGGCCCUAGGGUUGUAAAGCUCUUUCGGUGGUGAGGUGGUGGUGAAUAGCCACUGCAAUUGACGCUAGCCACAGAAGAAGCACCGGCUAACUCU